UGUUUGAAACUGAAAAGAAAAUUCAGAUGUCAUUAACGCCCAUGAGAAAAUGUCUGAAAGUAACAUGGAGCGGGAAUGCACAGAAAAUAACAGAAAAUUCAGAUGUCAUGGAGCGGAAUGCACAGAAAAUAACAGAAAACUCAGAUGUCAUGGAGCGGAACCAAUUGGAGCCGUUGAGAGAAUGCUUUAAAAAAGCAUGUGAAAAAAAAUUCAAAUUUCAAACCAACUGGAGUAAACCAUGGUAUUCAAACCAUGUAAACCACGGUACGGAGUUCAUUUUAAAGGAAGGGAUGGUAAAUAUUUGGGCAAAGGCAGUCGCCAUUGUCUGUGUCGCAUUUGCAUGUUUAAGAUCAUAACCCUAACCUCUGUCAAACCAAUUAAUGUUCUUUUAUUUUUUUCUGUCAGUGCUUUGUUCUGUCUUUCUGUUAUUUCUUUCAUUAUUUUUUUCCCAUACAUUGUUUUGUUCUGUUGUUUCAUUAUUUCUUGUUUUUCCUUUUUUUUGGAGCCUGCUACAGUGUGCACACUAGUUUGUCCGUCAUGAGCUUUAUCUAUUGUUUUUUCUUUUUCAUUUUUUUUUUCACAUUUUGUAUGGUAGAAAAUGAAGAGGAAAAGCAGAGGAGGUAGGAUUCAAGAAAUAGCAGCUGAUUGAGGGAAAAAAUCUUCGUCCAGCCGGUCAUGGCACUGACAAUGGAUUCACUGGUGGGACCAUUUCUCAGAGGCGGCCUUGCUAAGCUCGUCAUAACUACUUCUGAACCUGCUCGCUGGAAAAAGCUUGUGGAGUGGGACAGAAGAUCUUACUUCUUGGUUUGUUUGCUGGUUGUUGUAACACAGAGAAGUUGCAAUCAUUGAAGUUGACAUGUUUGGUGAGGUUGACGUGAAUGAUUACAAACAGGACCUGGGUGGUAGCAUGUUGCAGCGAAAAAACUGCAGUUUGAUAAGAAGGAUCCUAAAGUGAGCUGAGCAGCUAUAUGAAUUAUUUUUCAUCAUGAUGUAUAAAAACAACCUAUUGACUUGAUAGCAUUGUAAUAUGUACAAAGAUAGUGCUUAAUAAAUUUUUUUGGAAGGGGUUAAAAACCUCUUCUGAAGACUGAAGGGAAUAGUCAUUGGCCAUGGUUAUUCCUCGAGGUCGUGUUUUUUGGUACCUUAAAGAAUGGUCAAUAGGCCAAGACCAUUCUUUAAGGUUUGUGUCUCUCUUUUUUUUUGCAUUCUUUUUAUUAGUUUAAUUUUUAUUU